rnacentral:rRNA from 1 species
CAAUAGCGUAUAUUAAAGUUGUUGCAGUUAAAAGCUCGUAGUUGGAUUUCGGUUGAGAACGGCCGGUCCGCCGUUUGGUGUGCACUGGCUGGUCUCAACUUCCUGUAGAGGACGCGCUCUGGGUUAACGCUCGGACGCGGAGUCUACGUGGUUACUUUGAAAAAUUAGAGUGUUCAAAGCGGGCUUACGCUUGAAUAUUUCAGCAUGGAAUAACACUAUAGGACUCCUGUCCUAUUUCGUUGGUCUCGGGACGGGAGUAAUGAUUAAGAGGAACAGUUGGGGCGAUUCGUAUUUCAUUGUCAGAGGUGAAAUUCUUGGAUUUAUGAAAGACGAACUUCUGCGAAGCAAUUUGCCAAGGAAUGUUUUUCAUUAAUCAAGAACGAAAGUGGGGCGUCGAAGACGAUUAGAUACCG